GACGAACGCUGGCGGCGCGCUUAACACAUGCAAGUCGAGCGAGAACCUCCGGGCUUGCCCGGAGGGGAAAGCGGCGAACGGGUGAGUAACACGUGAGCAACCUGCCCCGGAGACUGGGAUAACACCGGGAAACCGGUGCUAAUACCGGAUACCCCCACCGGAUCGCAUGGUCCGAUGAGGAAAUGGUCAGCCGCUCCGGGAUGGGCUCGCGGCCUAUCAGCUUGUUGGUGGGGUAACGGCCUACCAAGGCAGCGACGGGUAGCUGGUCUGAGAGGAC
rnacentral:rRNA from 1 species